rnacentral:rRNA from 1 species
AUACGGAGGGUGCAAGCGUUAAUCGGAAUUACUGGGCGUAAAGCGCGCGUAGGCGGCUCUGUAAGUCGGAUGUGAAAGCCCUGGGCUCAACCUGGGAAUUGCAUUCGAAACUGCAGGGCUAGAGUAUGGUAGAGGGAAGUGGAAUUUCCGGUGUAGCGGUGAAAUGCGUAGAGAUCGGAAGGAACAUCAGUGGCGAAGGCGGCUCUCUGGACCAAAACUGACGCUGAGGUGCGAAAGCGUGGGUAGCAAACAGGAUUAGAUACCCCGGUAGUCC